rnacentral:rRNA from 1 species
GUCUACAACCAUACCACCCUGAAUAUGCCGGAUCUCCUUUGAUCUCCAAAGCUAAAAAAGGAAGUGAAAGCAGAGCUUACAAGUUUAUAUGAACUGGUGUUAUGGUUGUUGUUU